rnacentral:rRNA from 1 species
GAUAAACGCUGGCGGCGCACAUAAGACAUGCAAGUCGAACGGACUUAAUCGAAAUAUUUAUAUUUGAAGCGGUUAGUGGCGGACUGGUGAGUAACGCGUAAGGACCUGCCUAUUAGAGGGAAUAACAGGUGAGAAAUCAUUGCUAAUACCCGCAUAUGCCAUAGAUAUCACAUGAUAACAGUGGGAAAGGAGCAAUCCGCUAAUAGAUGGCCUUGCGUCUGAUUAGAUAGUUGGUGGGGUAACGGCCUACCAAGUCGACGAUCAGUAGCCGGACUGAGAGGUUGAACGGCCACAUUGGGACUGAGAUACGGCCCAGACUCCUACGGGAGGCAGCAGUCGGGAAUAUUGCGCAAUGGAGGAAACUCUGACGCAGUGACGCCGCGUAUA